ACUGAAAUUUACAAUCAUGGUGAGAAAUUUUUACUGAUAAAUUGAUGAUGUAUGCAUGUCUGCACUUUACAUUCCCAUAGAAGGCAAGUUUUGUUCAAACAUCUUCUUGGAAAAAUGUUUAUAACAAGGUAUAUAUAAUGGUUUAUUUGUUAAUUCUUUUUUUAUUAUUUUUUUAAUUUCCUUUAGUUGUUUAAUUUCAAUUGAUUAGGAAGUGGUGAACUCCUUGGACG
rnacentral:misc_RNA from 1 species